rnacentral:rRNA from 1 species
GACGAACGCUGGCGGCGUGCUUAACACAUGCAAGUCGAACGAAGAGCGAUGGAAUCUUUCUUCUACCCGUCUUAGUGGCGAACGGGUGAGUCACGCGUAAUCAACCUGCCCUUCAGAGGGGGACAACAGUUGGAAACGACUGCUCAUACCGCAUACGAUCUGACCUCGGCAUCGGGGAUAGAUUUAAGGUGGCCUCUACAUGUAAGCUAUCACUGCAGGAUGGUAUUGCGUCUGUUUAGUACGUUGGAGGGGUAAAGGCCCACCAAGGCGAUGAUCAGUAGCCGGUAUGAGAGGAUGAACGGCCACAUUGGGACUGAGACACGGCCCAGACUCCUACGGGAGGCAGCAGUGGGGAAUCUUCCGCAAUGGGCGAAAGUCUGACGGAGCAACGCCGCGGGAGGGAUGACGGCCGUCGGGUUGGAAAGCUCUGUUAAUCGGGACGAAAGGCCUUUUUGCGAAUAGUGAGAAGGAUUGACGGUACCGGAAUAGAAAGCAACGGCUAACUACGUG